AGUAACGCGUGAGCAAUCUGCCUUUAAGAGGGGGAUAACAGUCGGAAACGGCUGCUAAUACCGCAUAAAGCAUCAAAUUCGCAUGUUUUUGAUGCCAAAGGAGCAAUCCACUUUUAGAUGAGCUCGCGUCUGAUUAGCUGGUUGGCGGGGUAACGGCCCACCAAGGCGACGAUUAGUAGCCGGACUGAGAGGUUGAACGGCCACAUUGGGACUGAGACACGGCCCAG
rnacentral:rRNA from 1 species